UUAAACUAUUAAGUUGUGUUAGUCUACUUGGACCAAUGUAACAAAUUACCACAGACUGAGUGGCCUAUAAACAAUAUUUAUUUCUCAGAGUUCUGGAAGCUGGGAAGUCCAAGAUCAAGGUGCCCAGGGAUUCAGUAUCUAGAAAGGCCUGGUUCUGUUUUUUUGUACCUUCUUGCUGUGUCCUUACAUAGUGGAUGCAGUGCUCUGAGGCCUUUUUUAUGAGGUAUCACACCUCACUCCUGAGGGCUCCAUCUACGAAAGAGGGAAGAGAACCUGCUGAAGAGGAAGCUUAUGCUGGGGUCAGGCUGGAUGGGUAGGCUGUUCCUUCCUUUGCAAACAAGGACUCUGGGACCAGGUUUCCUAUGGUUGUGCCCGUUUCUUCCAUACUUUAAGCCUGUGGACCCCUUGGGGCGGUUGCUAGGUUACAGCAAGUUCUAGAGGAGGAAAAGACCAUGGGGAGAGCAGUCCUGGGAGGAGGUAAAGCCAAGAGGCUCUCUCCUGACUGCUUGGUGGACGCCUUCACCUUUGUACAGAGGAGAAAUUCAGUGUCAUUGAUCUCUGAGAUCCCGUAAGCUCAUAACCAUCUUUAACUGCCUCUCUGCUCCAAGAACCGCUCCCCCAUGCUCUCAGAGAUCGAGACAGGGAAGUGGCAGGGCCGUGAGCGGCAGUGGGGGCUACUUACUGUUCCCAGCUGUCUUUCACCGGCUGCACACAUUUGAAGCCACAGUGCCAGUAGCAACAAAUCUUCUGAUCCUUACAGUCGUUGUCAUUGUGACACUGGGGAUCCUCUCCCCUGAUGCAGCGGACAUUGUCCGGCGGGCAAACUCCUUUUUCUUUAUUUGGUGGAAGAAGGCACAAGCCAAUCCUAGGGAUGACAUCCCCACCUCCGAAAUGGGUUCGCUGUGUGCCAAGCAUACUGGUAGGAAGGGUUUUGUUCCUGGAAUUCGGGAAGGCUGCCCAGUUUGCUGAAGUGAGCAGAAAGUCUUCACAGGGUGAGCAUCUACAUCUUUGCACCAUGUGCGUGUCUGGUGCCUGAGGAGUCCCAGAAGAGGACACUGGAUCCCCUGGAGCUGGGCUUACAGAUCAUUGUGAGCCACCCCGUGAAUGCAGGGAAUAGAACCUGGGACCUCUGGAGGAGCUGCCGCUGCUCUUAACCACCGUGCUAUUUCUCCACAUCCUCUUCUAUCUUUGUCAGUCAAUGUUACCAUCAAACGGAGAUGAGACCCAGUUUCACUAAGAACACUAAGCCCAAUGCUCCCAUCAGGUGUAAAUGACUAAAUCUGUACAUAAAACUUUACACCUUGUGAUGGUUAGAUCACAAAGUAGGCGCCCCGAGAUGGCGGUGCAGACCUAAGACGGCUCCCUGAGCCUACCUGGGGCAGAUGGCCACGAGUAAAUAGAAACUUAACCACCAGCAUUUCUCAGAAACCCUGUGACUCAGGGAUUUUGGCUUUCAGAUAACUGCAAUUUCCAAGGUCCCCCUCCCCUAAAUGGCCACCUACCACAGGCAAAAGGACAUUUGAUACUCAUAAAGUGGCCUCAUUGCAAUCAGGCACAGACCCUUUCCAGUAGGCUUGACCUGGGGAUCUUGUUCUAUCCAAGAUAGGAAAAAAAAAAUGUGAGAGGGAAGGAUCUGCUCUUAAGCCUUCAGAAGCCCUGCAAAGCCUACCCGUUCUCCUGGCCGGGCUGCUUGCUGUUCACUACCUUUGUGAGACAGCUCAGCAGUUGUUUCUCCAAUAAACUUUUUCUUCCCCCGUGCA